rnacentral:rRNA from 1 species
AUUGAACGCUGGCGGCAGGCCUAACACAUGCAAGUCGAGCGGAAACGAUCCUAGCUUGCUAGGAGGCGUCGAGCGGCGGACGGGUGAGUAACGCGUGAGAAUCUACCCAUGAGUGGGGGACAACCCGGGGAAACUCGGGCUAAUACCGCAUACGCCCUACGGGGUAAAGCAGGGGACCUUCGGGCCUUGCGCUGAUGGAUGAGCUCGCGUCGGAUUAGCUUGUUGGUGAGGUAAAGGCUCACCAAGGCGACGAUCCGUAGCUGGUCUGAGAGGAUGAUCAGCAACACUGGGACUGAGACACGGCCCAGACUCCUACGGGAGGCAGCAGUGGGGAAUCUUAGACAAUGGGCGCAAGCCUGAUCUAGCCAUGCCGCGUGUGUGAUGAAGGUCUUAGGAUCGUAAAGCACUUUCGCCAGGGAUGAUAAUGACAGUACCUGGUAAAGAAACCCCGCUAACU